GACGAACGCUGGCGGCGUGCCUAAUACAUGCAAGUAGAACGCUGAAGGAGGAGCUUGCUUCUCUGGAUGAGUUGCGAACGGGUGAGUAACGCGUAGGUAACCUGCCUGGUAGCGGGGGAUAACUAUUGGAAACGAUAGCUAAUACCGCAUAGGAGUAGAUGUUGCAUGACAUUUGCUUAAAAGGUGCAAUUGCAUCACUACCAGAUGGACCUGCGUUGUAUUAGCUAGUUGGUGGGGUAACGGCCCACCAAGGCGACGAUACAUAGCCGACCUGAGAGGGGGAUCGGCCACACUGGGACGGAGACACGGCCCAGACUCCUACGGGAGGCAGCAGUAGGGAAUCUUCGGCAAUGGACGGAAGUCUGACCGGGCAACGCCGCGUGAGUGAAGAAGGUUUUCGGAUCGUAAAGCUCUGUUGUAAGAGAAGAACGAGUGUGAGAGUGGAAAGUUCACACUGUGACGGUAGCUGACCAGAAAGGGACGGCUAACUACGUG
rnacentral:rRNA from 1 species